rnacentral:rRNA from 1 species
UUUUAUGGAGAGUUUGAUCCUGGCUCAGGAUGAACGCUGGCGGCGUGCCUAAUACAUGCAAGUCGAGCGAACGGACGAGAAGCUUGCUUCUCUGAUGUUAGCGGCGGACGGGUGAGUAACACGUGGAUAACCUACCUAUAAGACUGGGAUAACUUCGGGAAACCGGAGCUAAUACCGGAUAAUAUUUUGAACCGCAUGGUUCAAAAGUGAAAGACGGUCUUGCUGUCACUUAUAGAUGGAUCCGCGCUGCAUUAGCUAGUUGGUAAGGUAACGGCUUACCAAGGCAACGAUGCAUAGCCGACCUGAGAGGGUGAUCGGCCACACUGGAACUGAGACACGGUCCAGACUCCUACGGGAGGCAGCAGUAGGGAAUCUUCCGCAAUGGGCGAAAGCCUGACGGAGCAACGCCGCGUGAGUGAUGAAGGUCUUCGGAUCGUAAAACUCUGUUAUUAGGGAAGAACAUAUGUGUAAGUAACUGUGCACAUCUUGACGGUACCUAAUCAGAAAGCCACGGCUAACUACGUGCCAGCAGCCGCGGUAAUACGUAGGUGGCAAGCGUUAUCCGGAAUUAUUGGGCGUAAAGCGCGCGUAGGCGGUUUUUUAAGUCUGAUGUGAAAGCCCACGGCUCAACCGUGGAGGGUCAUUGGAAACUGGAAAACUUGAGUGCAGAAGAGGAAAGUGGAAUUCCAUGUGUAGCGGUGAAAUGCGCAGAGAUAUGGAGGAACACCAGUGGCGAAGGCGACUUUCUGGUCUGUAACUGACGCUGAUGUGCGAAAGCGUGGGGAUCAAACAGGAUUAGAUACCCUGGUAGUCCACGCCGUAAACGAUGAGUGCUAAGUGUUAGGGGGUUUCCGCCCCUUAGUGCUGCAGCUAACGCAUUAAGCACUCCGCCUGGGGAGUACGACCGCAAGGUUGAAACUCAAAGGAAUUGACGGGGACCCGCACAAGCGGUGGAGCAUGUGGUUUAAUUCGAAGCAACGCGAAGAACCUUACCAAAUCUUGACAUCCUUUGACAACUCUAGAGAUAGAGCCUUCCCCUUCGGGGGACAAAGUGACAGGUGGUGCAUGGUUGUCGUCAGCUCGUGUCGUGAGAUGUUGGGUUAAGUCCCGCAACGAGCGCAACCCUUAAGCUUAGUUGCCAUCAUUAAGUUGGGCACUCUAAGUUGACUGCCGGUGACAAACCGGAGGAAGGUGGGGAUGACGUCAAAUCAUCAUGCCCCUUAUGAUUUGGGCUACACACGUGCUACAAUGGACAAUACAAAGGGCAGCGAAACCGCGAGGUCAAGCAAAUCCCAUAAAGUUGUUCUCAGUUCGGAUUGUAGUCUGCAACUCGACUACAUGAAGCUGGAAUCGCUAGUAAUCGUAGAUCAGCAUGCUACGGUGAAUACGUUCCCGGGUCUUGUACACACCGCCCGUCACACCACGAGAGUUUGUAACACCCGAAGCCGGUGGAGUAACCUUUUAGGAGCUAGCCGUCGAAGGUGGGACAAAUGAUUGGGGUGAAGUCGUAACAAGGUAGCCGUAUCGGAAGGUGCGGCUGGAUCACCUCCUUUCUAAGGAUA